rnacentral:rRNA from 2 species
GGCGCGCAAAUUACCCACUCCCGGCACGGGGAGGUAGUGACGAAAAAUAACGAUACGGGACUCAUCCGAGGCCCCGUAAUCGGAAUGAGUACACUUUAAAUCCUUUAACGAGGAUCAAUUGGAGGGCAAGUCUGGUGCCAGCAGCCGCGGUAAUUCCAGCUCCAAUAGCGUAUAUUAAAGUUGUUGCGGUUAAAAAGCUCGUAGUCGAAUUUGUGUCUCAUGCCGCUGGUUCAUCGUUCGCGGUGUAAACUGGCGUGACAUGGGACGUCCUGCCGGUGGGCUUAGCUCUUAACGGGGCGGCCCUAUAUAAUCCUGCCGCGUUGCUCUUAAUCGAGUGUCGAGGUGGGCCGGCUCAUUUACUUUGAACAAAUUAAAGUGCUUAAAGCAGGCUAAAAUUUUGCCUGAAUAUGUGUGCAUGGAAUAAUGGAAUAGGACCUCGGUUCUAUUUUGUUGGUUUUAGGAACCCCGAGGUAAUGAUUAAUAGGAACGGAUGGGGGCAUUCGUAUUGCGACGUUAGAGGUGAAAUUCUUGGAUCGUCGCAAGACGAACAUAAGCGAAAGCAUUUGCCAAAAACGUUUUCAUUGAUCAAGAACGAAAGUUAGAGGUUCGAAGGCGAUCAGAUACCGCCCUAGUUCUAACCAUAAACGAUGCCAGCCAGCGAUCCGCCGAUGUUCCUCCGAUGACUCGGCGGGCAGCUUCCGGGAAACCAAAGCUUUUGGGUUCCGGGGGAAGUAUGGUUGCAAAGCUGAAACUUAAAGGAAUUGACGGAAGGGCACCACCAGGAGUGGAGCCUGCGGCUUAAUUUGACUCAACACGGGAAACCUCACCAGGCCCAGACACUGGAAGGAUUGACAGAUUGAGAGCUCUUUCUUGAUUCAGUGGGUGGUGGUGCAUGGCCGUUCUUAGUUGGUGGAGCGAUUUGUCUGGU